UGGAAAUUGGGGGCCAGAGCUCACUGGUGACGUAGCUGUCACGUGACCAAGAGCAGCCUAGAACCGAAGUCCUGCUAGUCGCCUCCGUCUGGGUACCAGCCCCCUAUUACUCUGCAGGCGUGUGAAGGAAGAAGGAAACUAGCCCCGGACCGCGAGGUUUGUAGGUCUGUUGGCCCAUAGGUCGCCUCAAACGUCGUGCCAAGGGAAGGAGCAAACUGCCUUGGGACCGUGCAGGUCCGUGUGAAGUUCUCCAAAGCCAGCUAUCUUGUCUUUCCGACCUUCUGCCAGACUGUCCAUCAGUCUCCGCGGAAGGAGUGCUGACAACAGAAGACAAGGGAAGAAGAAAUUUACCUGACUUUGGUAGAGAUUCAUCACAGGAGAGCUACAGGAGCCCAGGAGAGGCUGAAGAGGACUGCUGCUCCACCAUUACUCACCCUGGCCCUCAGAAUCCUCCUGAAUCAGGAACGGAAACACACAGGUUCUCCCUGACACCCUGGCCUCGUAGAGGGCCAUCUGGAGCGGAAUGGAACCGAAUCCACCCAAAACCCUGCUGGAGAACACCCACCUGUGUUCUCAUUCAAAGAAUCUACAGUGGGUGCUGUUGAAGACCCGGCCUUAGCCACCACAUCACGGGGUGAAAGUUACACUUGCUCCACUGAGGACCACACUCUUCUGGGCCAGGCAGGGGUCCCCCCGGAGCUCUGAGUAACUUCUUGGUUUUGCAGUCUGCAGGCAAAGUGCAUUGUUAGUUACUCCCUUGCGGCCUUCCUCCUGCGGUAAAGGGAUCUUUUCAGCAGCCAGCUGUGCCUACAGAACAUCCUAUGAGAGCAUGGCCGGGGAGGUCUUGCCUCUGGUGGUCUCCCUGUGUCAGCCGGACUGUUUUGAGGAGACCGGGCACGUGUCGGGGCUGGAGCUGCAAACGCAUCUGUUGCCUCUUAGGUUGACUUCUUUCCCACUGACUCCUUCUUCGCUGCGAGCUGAUGGAUGGUGAACCUAGUCAUCCACAAAGGACACUCCCCUCCUCUGUGCUCUACCGACUUGACUUCCUCCACCCAAGCCUACAUCUGUACGCAUCGUCAAUAAAGUGUGUGCUUUGAUUGGCAAAAA